rnacentral:lncRNA from 1 species
GUGCUCCUGAUGACCCGGCAGCCGCCGCCCUGCAACCGCUCCCCGGGACCCGUCAGCGCUGACACUGAUGACCCGCGGCGGGGGCGCUGGGCGCGGGGUGCGCAGGCCACUGGCCGCGGGCCCUCGGACCCGCUCCUGCCGCCGGCUUCCGCUGCUUCCGCGUGCUGUGGACACUGCCAGAAUUUGUCAAAGGUCCUAGGAAGAAAAGGCCCUUUCGCCCCUCACCUCAGUGAACAGAUGGUGUGUUUGGACUGUUCGCAUUCGCUCCUCAUAGGGACAAAUGAAACUCUUCCCACUCCAUGGGAUUUCCCUUGAUUUUUACAUUGGGAGUAAAAAGAUGAAGCAUGAGACUCUUCAGCUGCAUCUCGAACUGCAUCUAAUCCCAGCACAUCCCUCUCAAUCUGUGAUUAAGUCUGUUCAUCUAAAAGAGAGACAUGGGAAAAAUGGAAAUGGGACUUUGGAAGAAGAAUGACCAUCCACAUUUCCAUCACAGCCUAGAUUUCCUACCUGAUUGAGAUUUUCAGUAGAUGGCCCUAGGUCUCGUUUCCCACUUUGGACCUGUUGCCCUUAGCUCCAAUAGAGGACUUCCAAGUAACUAGGAAGAUUUCACCUCUCUUUUGAAACAUAAUGGACAAAUGUGUUUCUUUAGGAUGAGAGGUGCACCUGGCUAGAGUCAAUCUUUAUUUUCCUAAAAUAACCAGGAUGAAAACUCAAAAUAAAAAGAAAUACCUCAUGGGCAAAAGCUCUCCCAGUACAACUAAUAUAGACACUCAACAUGGCUUCGUAGAAACUGACCCCUCUCCCAAGUCUUAUGUUUGUCAGAAUUGCAUGCCUAUUUCAAUCAAAGAAAAGUGAUCUGAUCUCUUCAGAUGAAGGUGGGACUUGGAGAUGCUGCUGCCUAGAGUAAACUUGCCAGAGAAAGGAUAAGCAUUCAGGAAGUGCCAGGAUGGGGUAUCAGCUGAGCAACGGCAGGAUCCCUUCUGCCAAUGGGCUGGCUCAGGGAGUAAACUUCCCCAGAAAGAACUUUUGUUUCUCUCUAGAAUCAAAGUGGACAAAAUGAUCACCUUAUUUGCCUGGAGUGAACCAGGUUGAAACUGAGAAGGCAGACAUGGGUGUUAAGCCAGAUGAAGUCAUAUGUUAUAACUAAGCUAUGUACCUGUAAGUUGCCUGGUAGUCUAAAUUGCACCAAGUAGUUUAUUCAUUCUCUCUAAACAGGUCAUAAUAAGUGUUAGUCUGUGAUCCACUGUGGAAAGAGAUUUCUGAAAAGAAUAGAGGCAGUGGUAGAGGGUCCAAGGUUGUUAUUUAAAGAGAUGAAUGUGGGCCAGGUGCCGUGGCUCACACCUGUAAUCCCAGCAUUUUGGGAGGCAGAGGCAGGAGGAUUGCUUAAGGCCAGAGUUCAAGACCAACCUGGCCAAUAUAGUGAGACCCCACUUCUCUACAAAAGAUAGAAAAACUUAGCCAGGCAUGGUGGCAGGUGCUAUACUCCCUGCCACCAUGGGACUAUAGCUCCUGUAGUCCCAGCUACUCAGGAGCUGAGGUGGAAGGAUUGCUUGAGCCCAGAAGUUCAAGGUUGCAGUGAGCCAUGAUCAUGCCACUGCACUCUUCCCUGGGUGACAGAUCGAGACCUGACUCAAUAAUAAUAAUAAUAAUAAUAAUAAUAAUGCAACACAAACUAUCUUUUACCUCUUGAACAAUGAAUACAGAUGCCAUGACUACAUCUGUUUGUUGGUGACCAGGGAGGCUGCCAGUGAGGAUUCAGGGUGGAAGUAGCCAUGUACCCAAUACCUAUUGUGAGAUGUGGCCUGGGGAGCCCUGAGAUUUCCUGGCCAGGCUCACUCACUACCCAGACACCUUCUUCCUGCAUGGCCCUCAGCCCCUCCAAGGCUCAAUUCUCAGACAUCAGAGUAAUCUACAUCCUCCAUCUUGAGUUAUUCCUCACAAGGCCUGCAAGUUUUCCUAGGAGGAAGGGAAGACAGGGUUGAACCCACGCAAUUCUAGAAUCUAGAAUUUGGAGGAUUUCUAAACCUCCCCUGUAAGUCAGCCCUUGAGAACUUGUAGAUUUUCUCAUCAUUUGCAGCAUGAGAGUCUGGAGUAGACUGUUUGGAUUUGACUCUUGGUUCCUUGGGCAAGUUACUUAACCUCUCAGCUGUGUGUCAGUUUCCUUAUCUAAAAAGUGUAGUUAAUAAUAACUGACAUCUCAGAGGUAUUGAGAGGUUACUGUGAUGAUUAAAUUAGUUGAUUCAUAUAAAAUGUUUAAAAGAGUGCCUGGCAUUAUUAUUAAUAGUAAUCAGUUUAGCAUAAGUCUUGCCUGCUGAUAAGGAGCUGGAUUGAAUGACUACUUAGAUUUUAUUUCUUGGCCUUCUCUUCUCUGGACUAGGUGACCCCAACUUUCUCCUUACUCCUGAAAAAUUUAUCCCAGUCUGCUAAGGAAGAGAAAGCCCAUGUGUGCAUGUACACACAUGCACCUACACAAACAUUUACACACAGUUUUGCUCUUCUAUACAGAAUUAAUAGAGCUACUAGAGUGUCUAGGAACUGACCUGAAAGAGAAAGGAAACACUGCUUUUUUUUUUUUUUUUUUUGAGAUGGAGUCUCACUCUGUCGCCAGGCUGGAGUGCAGUGGCACAACUGCGGCUCGCUUGCAACCUCCACUUCCUGGGUUCAAGUGAUUCUCCUGCCUCAGCCUCCCGAGUAGCUGGGACUACAGGCGCGCAUCACCACACCCAGCUAAUUUUUGUAUUUUUAGUAGAGAUGGGGUUUCACCAUGUUGGCAAGGAUGGUCUUGAUCUCUUGACCUCGUGAUCUGCCUGCCUCAGCCUCUCAAAGUGUUGGGAUUACAGGCAUGAGUCACCACGCCCGGCCGAAACACUGCUUAUUACAAUUUAUAGGUUUAUGUUCAAAAAGUUGCUAAUCUUAUUGCUGUGAACCCCUGCCAUCUCUAGUCCUGCCAUCUCUAGUACCUACAGGUACUGUAGACCAAAUCACAGAUUCAGAUUUGCCCAGUUCCUGUUCCUGUCUUGACCAAUCCUAGUAACUUAUUUGGGGCCCAGCCCCAUCUGCAGUGGAAGGUCUAUAAUUGGCCUUGCUUCCUUAAGCUAGGUACCCAGUGGGCCCAAGACUAAGCCUCAUGAAGCUUUUAGAGGCCCACUGAGAUUAACCUUUCUCAUCAGUGCUCACCUUGUCUUCCUAGUGACCAUGGCUGGCUUCUGUCUAGUUCUAGAGUUGCACUCUAAUUCUCUUCCAGGGCUGUUGCCCUGACCUACAUCUCUAUCUCUUUUAGAGCUUUCCAGCUUAUGUGUCCAAUGUCAGUCCUUUUUCCAAAUAAAUUGAACUUUAUCUUG